rnacentral:ribozyme from 10 species
UUUUCUGGUUCUUCUUUUUCUCCUCCCCUUUCUUUUUCUUUCCCUCUGUUUUCUAUUUCCGCGAAGAGAUUGAGAGAAGGAUGGGAUGGG